GCUGGCGGCGUGCUUAACACAUGCAAGUCGAACGGACGGAGGAGAGCUUGCUCUCCAAAGUUAGUGGCGAACGGGUGCGUAACACGUGAGCAAUCUGCCCUCGGGUGGGGGAUAGCCGGCCCAACGGCCGGGUAAUACCGCGUACAGCAUCGGCGUCGCAUGGCGCUGAUGUGAAAGGAACUUCGGUUUCGCCUGAGGAGGGGCUCGCGGCGUAUCAGCUUGUUGGUGGGGUAACGGCCUACCAAGGCUACGACGCGUAGCUGGUCUGAGAGGACGAUCAGCCACAUUGGGACUGAGAUACGGCCCAGACUCCUACGGGAGGCAGCAGUGGGGAAUAUUGCGCAAUGGCCGCAAGGCUGACGCAGCGACGCCGCGUGUGGGAUGAAGGCUUUCGGGUUGUAAACCACUGUCACGGGGGACGAACUCA
rnacentral:rRNA from 1 species